rnacentral:lncRNA from 1 species
AUCAAGAUCACGUUUCAUUCCAACAAUCCGAUUAUCAUGCAAGUUCUUAACAAGAGAAACAAUCUCGGAACACACGCCUGAAAAGAACAUGCAUUCCUUUAAUUCUACUUACUUUAUCACCUAACAAGAGAAACAAUCUCGGAACACACGCCUGAAGAGGACAUGCAUUCCUUUAAUUCUACUUACUUUAUCACCUAAGCACAGAGAAGUCUAGAACUUAGAUUAUUUCAUGUAAAUUGCUGCAUUCAAUACUGAAGAGUAUUUGUCCACAAUAAACAUGAAUCAUUAAGAAUUAAAGAAUUGAGAUUGAACAGCAACGCACACCCGAGACGUUGUAACAUGCAUUUGUUGUAGUCUACGUUUUCAACUAUUACUACAUAGUUUCCACCAAUUAGAGAAACAUACUUACUUAAAGAAGCUUAGCAUGAAUCAUGGCAAUAGCUAGCAUGCAUUCUAACUCUUUACUUUAAACAAAAAAGUAAACUUUCAAUCAUUAAAACUCACAAGAUCGGAUCGCCAGAAAAUCAUUAACGAAACAUCAAUAUGUUUUAUAAAAUUCUGAAUUCUGAAUCUAUUGAAUACAGGAACAAGCAAAACAUGAUUCCAAAUCCUAAGUUUAGCACACGAAACAUACUUAUAAAUUUGUAAAGAAAAUCAAAACAAAGUAUAGGUAAUGUUUAC